CGUCUGUGAUUCCUUACAGUUCGCCUUGGUCUUUACCACUAUGACUAAUUUUGUCAUCUGCAAAACUAGUCACCUUGCUAGUCAUCCCCUUUUCCAGAUCAUUUACAAAUAUGUUAAACAGCACUGGUCCCAGCACAGAUCCCUGGGAGACCCCACUGUUUAUUUCUUUCCACCCUGAAAACUGAUCAUUUAUGCUCACUCAUUGCUUUCUAUCUUGGAGCCAAUUUCUAAUCCAAGAGUGGACAUUCCCUGUAAUCCUGUGACUACCUAAUUUAUUUAAGAAGCUCUGAUGGGGAGUGUGGCAGAGCACAGGGUGCUCCUGCCACUUUAAGGCAGCCUCCAGGUGCCUGAUUGCGGCAGCCAUUUUGAGGCCUAUAUAAACCAGGCAGUUGGGCUGCAGGAGGUCAGGCAGCAACAUUGCCUGGCCUUAGAGCUGCUGUGUACGACCUGGAGGAACAGAAUAGCCUGUAGUUCUUUCUUUAAUAUUGGCAAUGUUCCAGUCCUCUGGUACCAAGGUUGCAUACUACAGUUAAGAGCACAGCAAUUUCUGAUCUGAUUUCCUUCAGGACCCUAGGUGCUUGAAAUUGGACACAGCAUUUCAGCUGAAGCCUUACCAGUGCCAAGUAGGGCAGAAUAAUCUCCUGUCACAAGGUGAUGAGAAGGCUGUCAUUUUGAAAGAGCUCUACGUUAACACUAUGUACAAGACUUUUGCACAUUGUGUAUGUUGCAGUAAUGUCAUUCAUGCAGCAGUAAAUCAAUAUAUAGCUUCCUACAGUGCUGAAUAUCAUUUACAGUGUAACAAAUCCAAAGUCAUUCUUGUAGAAGGCAAAGUAGGGUGGCACCUUAGAAACUAAGGCUUUGCCAGGUUAGUCCUCUGCUCUGUAUACGACAGUAACAAGCAGGGAGCCAUUUGAAAAAGGUAUCAGCUUUCACAGAUGACAGCCUACUCCAUCAGAUGAAGCUGCUGUUUGUGGAAGCUUAUGCUUUUCUGAAUGCUUAAGCUUCUAAGGUACCACCCUGCUCUGCCUUCUGCCUGACUUUGACUAACGCAGCUAACCACCUCUUUCUAUUCAUUCUUGUGAAACAGGUGUUGACAAUGGCUUACACAAGUUACAAGUGUGGUCAAACUUCAAACAGCCUAUGGCAUCUCUCAGGAAAUAGCUCACUGACCAGUCUUAGAAGCAUACCUGAUUACUUUUAGCAUGGCAUACGAGUUUGCUUGGCUAAAUCCAACAGAAACAAAAGACCUUUAGGCUAGAGACAGACUUUCAAAAAGCCAGAGCCUGAAUUGAUUCAAUCUUUGCAGGUUAGUCUAAUCUGCCUAGAUUGAACCAAUUUGCAAGUGAAUAGACAUCCACAAAAUGCAGGCACAUGCCUACAGAGGCUCAGGCCAGGAGCUGGGGGGUGCUAGAGCAGCCCUCAGCUUCAGGGAAGCUGUAGUGGGGGGGGCAUGGCCAAACCCAGCAGUAGCUUGGAGUGAACGGGUUGAAUUUCCCCCUCCCUGUCCCACCAGCAUGGACCCAAGCUGGGGUCUGCGGGGUGUUCUUCCCUCGCUGCUGCCACAGUGGAGCCAGGAGCACAGCCAGACACCAACCAGCAUGGCCCCUGAGGCAGAAGGGGCAGGGAAGGGGUUAAUUCCCGCCUCUAUUCCCACUUCCCCAAGGGGCCGCAGCCAGGGUCUGCCCACUGCCACUUGCUCCCUGCAGGGACUUUGCAGAGAGAUAAGUCCCCUCAUACCUCCUCUGCCAGAUGCUGGAGGGAAGGGGCAAUAAUCCCCCUUGCCUAAGAGGCUGUGCCGGCUGACCUCUGGCCACACCAUGCCCUUGCUGCUCAAACAGCGAGCGGUUAGGGCAUUGACAGGGCAACAGCCCCUGUCCUGGUGUCUGGAGAGCGCAAGCCUCUUCUGCGCGGGGGGGGGGGUGGUGUCAGCACUGCCGUGGACUGCACAGGGCAGGCAGUGGCACUGAAGCUCGGAGGGAGCCUUGGCCUCCAAAACCCCUAGCACUGCCACCACCACACAACUGCAGCAGCUUUCUCCACCCCAACCCUGCCUGCAGCACAGUCCCCCUGCUGGGAAGAGGCUCAUACUCUAGGACUCCGUGAUGGGCUACAGUCUCCAUCAGGGUCAUUACCCCCUCACCACUCCAGGGGUGAGGUGUGUCCAGAGGCCGGCUAGCAGGGCACCUUAAGCAACGGGGCAGAGAGGGAAGUUAUUCCUCCCUCCCUCCGAUGUCUGGUGGAGGGGGCAGAAGGGGGCUUAUCCUGUCGCUUGCUCCCUGCAAGGAGUGUGUGGUGGUGAUUGUGGGAGAGGGCAGACCACACUGCUAUGUCACUGCCAGCCAAGAGCAGCACCAGCUCAUCCCCAGGGUGGCCCCACCUGGGCACCCACACACUGUGCUUCAGUGUCUGAGGACACAGCCCAGAGCCACAAGCCAUCACCACCAGCUGGGACUGAGCAAAACUGCCAGCCAUGCCAGCCCUGGCCACGUGGUAAGCCCCACACUAGGGGAAGGCCCUUCCCACCCCAGCCCCUGCCCCCUCUCUCUUCCUGGCCCACUCGCACCCCCUUGGCCCUGGGUUACCCCCCACAGCAUACAAGGAGGUGGAAGACAAUGCAGAACUUUAUCAAGCAGCUUGUGCCCCCACAGCUAGGUGGACACAGGCCUCUUGCAUGCUAAGGAGUGUGUCAAUGCCAGCCAUGAUGUUCUUCUCAGCUGUGGGGAGCAGGGACAUGUAGCGCAGCCACAGGUAGCCCUCCAGGCAGUGGCAGAGAUUGCAGGGCAGCCCAGGCUUACCCCUUGCACCGUCAAAGCUCAGGGUCCCAUGCCAGGUUUGCAUGUGCACCCAGGGCACCAUGGUAAUCAGUAGCAGCAGAGCCUAGUGGGUCAGGCACCCCUUAGUCUGUGCAAACAGCUCCUUGCACACUGCCCAUGACACACCCAGCAGGGGCAUGCUUAGGGCACAGGGCCUGUGUGUGGGGGCUAGCCCUGGGGCACUUCCAGCAGGUAGGGUGGUUCCCCAGUGAGGAGGGGCGGGGCUAUCACAGUGCCGCACUGCAGGUCCAACACCCCUGGCAUGAAGCGGGCACACUGCACCAGGGCUGGCAGGGCAGAGUUUCAGAAGAUGUGGGCAUUGUGGGCACUGCCUGCCCAGCCGGCACUCACAUGCAUGAAGGCACUGCAGUGGUCCACGAAAGCCUGGAGCACUGUGGAAUGAAAGCCCUUAUGGCUAUAGUAGGAGCGGUCCCUGUGAGGCAGGCAGGUGAAAGGUUUGUGACCUGACCUGUUUUGGGAGAUCUGCUGCUUGCCCAGAGCCCAGAUCCGAGACGUCACAGAGGGACUAUCGAGACACAUCCAGCCCUCUGUCUGCUACCACAUGCUACUCAUCCAUGUGGGCACCAAUGAUACUGCCAGGGGAGAACCUGAGUGUAUCAAAAGUGACUGCAGGGUUCUGGAUGCAAGU